rnacentral:rRNA from 1 species
CUCUUCGGGGAUGAUUAAACCGGCGCACGGGUGAGUAACACGUGAGUGACCUGCCUUUUAGACUGGAACAACUUACCGAAAGGUGAGCUAAUGCCGGAUGAGUUAUAUAAGUGCAUGUUUAUAUAGGAAAAGUUGGGGAGACCUGACGCUGAAAGAUGGACUCGCGUCCCAUUAGCUAGUUGGUAGGGUAAUGGCCUACCAAGGCGACGAUGGGUAGCCGGCCUGAGAGGGUGGCCGGCCACACUGGGACUGAGACACGGCCCAGACUCCUACGGGAGGCAGCAGUGGGGAAUUUUGCGCAAUGCUCGUAAGAGUGACGCAGCGACGCCGCGUGAAUGACGAAGGCCUUCGGGUCGUAAAGUUCUUUCGACAGGGAAGAAAAUGCCUAUAAGUAACUGUGUAUGUAUUGACGGUACCUGUAUAAGCAGCCCCGGCUAACUCCGUGCCAGCAGCCGCGGUAAUACGGAGGGGGCGAGCGUUGUUCGGAGUGACUGGGCGUAAAGAGCACGUAGGCGGUGUUGUAAGUCAUUAGUCAAAGACUAGAGCUCAACUUUAGUAAGGCUAGUGAUACUAUAAUACUAGAGUAUCAGAGAGGAUUGCAGAAUUCCUGGUGUAGCGGUGAAAUGCGUAGAUAUCAGGAGGAAUACCGUUAGCGAAGGCGGCAAUCUGGCUGGAAACUGACGCUGAGGUGCGAAAGCGUGGGUAGCAAACAGGAUUAGAUACCCUGGUAGUCCACGCUGUAAACGAUGGAUGCUAGGUGUUGGGCUUUUAAGUUCAGUGCCGCAGCAAACGCGAUAAGCAUCCCGCCUGGGGAGUACGUUUGCAAGAAUGAAACUCAAAGGAAUUGA